rnacentral:rRNA from 1 species
CUCCUACGGGGAGGCAGCAGUGGGGAAUUUUGGACAAUGGGGGCAACCCUGAUCCAGCCAUGCCGCGUGAGUGAAGAAGGCCUUCGGGUUGUAAAGCUCUUUCGUCCGGGAAGAAAUCGUUAUUUUUAAUACGUGGAGUGGAUGACGGUACCGGAAGAAGAAGCACCGGCUAACUACGUGCCAGCAGCCGCGGUAAUACGUAGGGUGCGAGCGUUAAUCGGAAUUACUGGGCGUAAAGCGUGCGCAGGCGGUUUUGUAAGCCAGAUGUGAAAUCCCCGGGCUUAACCUGGGAACUGCAUUUGGGACUGCAAGGCUAGAGUGCGUCAGAGGGGGGUAGAAUUCCACGUGUAGCAGUGAAAUGCGUAGAUAUGUGGAGGAACACCGAUGGCGAAGGCAGCCCCCUGGGCUAACACUGACGCUCAUGCACGAAAGCGUGGGGAGCAAACAGGAUUAGAUACCCUGGUAGUCCACGCCCUAAACGAUGUCAACUAGUUGUCGGAGGAGAGAUUCUUCGGUAACGCAGCUAACGCGUGAAGUGACCGCCU